UGUAUUUUCACUUGAUUUAUUUUUAUUAUUUGUUUAAUUACAAUUUGAAUUUAUCGGAAGAGGGUAUUAGAAUUCCUGACUUGAAAUUUCAGGUUAAUCAUUUUAUGGUGCCAAAAUUUAAUAGAUUUAAUAUAACUAUUCAUUCUUUUCCAACACGUUUAUACCUUAGUAGAUAUAUUCAUGCCGUCAGGGCCGGCGCAAAGCAGGUUCAGCGCAUUCGCCAGAACCCGGCCCCGCGUUUUGAGAGGCCCCGUGGUCUACGAAAAUUACCCAAUUAAAAAACACUGAUUUUGAUUAACUUUUUACAGAAUGAUGAUACCAUUAACAGAUGCAAGACAUUUUUUUAGUAGCGAUGAUUUGGUUUAAAGGAGUGACAAAAAUCAUCAAAGUUCAGUGUAACUCCAUAAAGUCCUCAUAUCCUGGAAAGUACUUUAGAUAAAAAAAUCCAGACGCUUUCAGAGAAAUGUACUUUUUAGAGAAAUUAAACUACAUCAAUAGUUUUUUUGCAAAAGUCAUACAUGAUUACAGAUUUUGUACUUUCAUUGAAUUUUUUGCCCCUAUAUAAUAUGUAACAGCAUUUAUAAAUAAAUAAUUCCUCAUUGUAAAAUUUAAGUGUAGGAUUUGAAUGUGUAUUCAGACCCCGCAAAAUUUUUGAACCCGGCCCCGCAAAAGGUCACGCCGGCCCUGGAUUUAGGCCUCCUACAAUUCUGGGCCUCUCACAUUGCAGGAUCCAGCACAUUGUAAUUCACCACUGGAUCUCAUCAUAGUGAUCUUUUUCUUAUUAUUAUUAUUUUUUGAAAUAUUCCAGAUAAUUUGUUUCAAUCCUUGCAAGAUUAAAUAUCAUCAAAAAUACUUUUGUUUUCUUUUUUUUUAAGCCUAUUGAAUAAGUCAAUGAGGCUUAAUGUUAAUUUAAUAGCAAAACAUUAUAGUUUUGGUCACAAAAUUUUAUUGAAGAAAGUCAUUUUUGCUUUGCUAAAAAUAUUAUUAUUAUUAUUAUUCCAUUUCUGAACAACUAUACAAAAUGUCUUUGAAUUAGAGUUAAAAUGAUAUAGAUGGUAAAAGUAUUUAAGUAGUGGAGAUGCCUAUUUUAAAGCUCCACAAGAUCGUGAUAUUCCAACUGAUGCAGCCUAAAUGUGAAUAUGUCAAUUCAGUGACACUAAUUUAACAACAAAAAUUAUAAAAAGAUUUCUGUUUUAUCAAUGAUUUAUUUCAUGAAAUGUUAACAUUUAUAAAUAUGAUAAAUGCCCAGUUAUAGUAAAACCCUGCUUAACACUGCUCUGUUUAAUGAUGUUUUGAUAUAACAUGGUUUUUUUCAAGUUCUGUAUUUUUUAUUGAUUCACUUUGGGGCAUUUUUCAAACUGUUAUACUCACAUAAAUCCAAAAUUGCACAAAUCUGUUGCUUUGUUAUUCCUAUGCCCAUCUUGCAGUACAGUACAUACAAAAAUCUGCUGCAGU
rnacentral:lncRNA from 1 species